rnacentral:rRNA from 1 species
AGAACGAACGCUGGCGGCAUGCCUAACACAUGCAAGUCGAACGAGACCUUCGGGUCUAGUGGCGCACGGGUGCGUAACGCGUGGGAAUCUGCCCUUGGGUUCGGAAUAACAGCGAGAAAUUGCUGCUAAUACCGGAUGAUGACGUAAGUCCAAAGAUUUAUCGCCCAAGGAUGAGCCCGCGUAGGAUUAGCUUGUUGGUGAGGUAAGAGCUCACCAAGGCGACGAUCCUUAGCUGGUCUGAGAGGAUGAUCAGCCACAUUGGGACUGAGACACGGCCCAAACUCCUACGGGAGGCAGCAGUGGGGAAUCUUGCGCAAUGGGCGAAAGCCUGACGCAGCCAUGCCGCGUGAAUGGUGAAGGUCUUAGGAUUGUAAAAUUCUUUCACCGGGACGAUAAUGACGGUACCCGGAGAAGAAGCCCGCUAACUUCGUGCCAGCAGCCGC